CCGCCUAUCGUUCAACGGAUAGGACAACGGUCUUCUAAACCGUGAAUGGGGGUUCGAUUCCCUCUGGGCGGACCA
rnacentral:tRNA from 1 species